AUUAUCUCAUGUAUGCCACUGACCAUUCAAAAGAACGUCUUACUGUUACAAAUACACCUCACAGAUCACGAAUUAGAAACAACGUAGCAAACCGUAGUUGGAAGAUUGACUAAAAAAGAAAGUGCUGCUACCAUGCAAAGGCACUUGGGGGCUUAUAUAUCUGGUGGGCGCUCAUCAUAACAAUUGACAUAGAAAUUCUAGUAAGAGAAUGUCAUUAACCUUCGAUCAGACUGGUCCUG
rnacentral:misc_RNA from 1 species